CUUCAUUACGACACCUUCCUGGUGAUUCGCUACGUCAAGAGGCAUUUGACGAUAAUGAUGGAUAUUGAUGGCAAGCAUGAGUGGAGGGACUGCAUUGAAGUGCCCGGAGUCCGCCUGCCCCGCGGCUACUACUUCGGUACCUCCUCCAUCACUGGGGAUCUCUCAGAUAAUCAUGAUGUCAUUUCCUUGAAGUUGUUUGAACUGACAGUGGAGAGAACCCCAGAAGAGGAAAAGCUCCAUCGAGAUGUGUUCUUGCCCUCAGUGGACAAUAUGAAGCUGCCUGAGAGUGAGCACAGGGGCCCGCGGGAAAUGGUCCCAUAGU
rnacentral:sRNA from 1 species